UACGAAGGGGGCUAGCGUUGCUCGGAAUCACUGGGCGUAAAGGGCGCGUAGGCGGCGUUUUAAGUCGGGGGUGAAAGCCUGUGGCUCAACCACAGAAUGGCCUUCGAUACUGGGACGCUUGAGUAUGGUAGAGGUUGGUGGAACUGCGAGUGUAGAGGUGAAAUGCGUAGAGAUCGGGAGGAACACCUGUGGCGAAGGCGGCCAGCUGGGCCGGACCUGACGCUGAGACGCGAAAGCGUGGGGAGCAAACAGG
rnacentral:rRNA from 1 species